AUGUAUUUUAAUUAUAUAUAGGCUUUAAUUUAAUUUGGGCCAUUAUUGUUGGCCCAUAAAAUAAACCCAACAAGUACAAACGUGCAAUUGAGCCCAACUCUAAAUUUACAUAACACACUCUCUCUUUCAGACUUUCAUUGUUGCACAUAACCCUAAAACAUGAUAACAUUCAAAUUUUCAAAUCCUUACUUUUUUUCCUCUCUCUCUCUCUCUCUCAGACCCUCAUCGAGUCAGGAAGUCACCCUAGCUCACAUUUCUUAUAAUUAUUUUGUAUUUUGAACUAUUGGACAUGUUGCAUCAAAUUGUAGGUAGUGUUCUAUAAAAAUUAAACUAUUGAUUACAUAAUAUCGAGAAUUUCAAUCGGCUCGUUUAGAGCUCGAGCUCAGCUUGACUCGAAAUUAGGCUCGCUCGAGCUCGGCUCGAAUUAAUUUCAAGCCGAGCUUGAGCCUAGAUUUAGGCUCGAAAUUAAUUUCAAACCGAAUUUGAGCUGACAUAAGCUCGCUCGAGCUCGGCUCGUUUCCACCCCUAGCACUGAGUGUCUCCCAAAACACCAUUGUAAAAAUAAAAACUAUAAUAUAUUUAUUUAUUAUAUAGAGUCCGACUAUGGUGCUUAUAAAAGCACCUAACACUUUAUGCUUGUAAAUUUUUUACCGUUAGGUCUACGUCUUUAAUCAUUUUCACCCGUUAGAUUAUACUAUUCAACCAACCACCAACUCAACCCUAAGAUGCCCACAUCAUCCUAACUGCACAUCUGUUAAUCCAAUAACAAAAAAUCUACAAGCACCAAUAACUUUAGUUUUAAAAGCAUAGGAGCUCAAUUCUAUUUUAUAUAUAUAUAUAGAGAGCAGGUUUUGUGUGCUAUUAGGAGCACGGAGGCCUCCGUGCUCCUAAGCCGUUUUCGAUGGUGGGGCUUCCGAAUCGAUGAUCGGCUCCGUUAGACUUGAUCUAGCAUAUUUGAAGUAUCUAGAAAAUAAAUUUUGUGACUUUUCGAUAUCAUUUACCUAACGAUCAAAAGAAUUCAAAAUCAAUGGCUGAAAAUAAAAAUCUCACAAAAAGUGGUGAUAUAGCAAUAAAAUUUUCGAUCAAACAUAUUGAUCUUGCUGUAAAUAGUAUAAAGAAUUUUCUAUCAAAAUUUCAUUUGAUUUGAAUACUUCUACACCGUUAAACUUGCAAACGGUAUACAUCAACCAUUAAAAAUUGUUGAUUUUGGACCCUUUCGAUCGCUAGGAAAAUGAUACCGAAAAAUCACAAAAAUUAUUUUCUAGAUAGUUCAAAUACGCUAGAUUAAGUCUAACGGAGCCGAUCGUCGAUUCGGNGAGGCCUCCGUGCUCCUAAUAGCACACAAGAUUUACUAUAUAUAUAUAUAUAUAUAUAUAUAUAUAAGCGUAUAGGAAUUCCGACAAUAACAUAUAAAAUUAAAAAAUGAAUAAAAUAAUAUUUUCUAUAUUCCCUACAAACGGAUAUGAUCAAUUAACAUUCAAAUUUAUCAAUAAAUUCAAUUUUACGAACAAUUAUGAUUAAUUUGUUAAAAAUAUUUAAAAUAAAAAUAAACGAUUGUAAUCAAUCUGUUAAAAAAUAGCACUUCGAUCCAUCUAUUUUAUAUCAAAAUUUAAAUUUGAGCUGAAAUCGUGAUUUAGAUUUAAUUUUUAAUUUUUGAUAUAAAUUUGAAUUAAUAAUUAAAAACUUUUAAUUUGAUAAUGGAUCAAAAUUAAAUUUUAAAAUAUAAAUUUUAUUCUAAAUUUGUUGAUAAAUAUGAUUUAUAAUUUUUUAUUGAUUUAAAAUAAAUUAAAAUAAUUCUUGCCUGCAUUUGCACGUAAUCUCAGCUAGCAUAUAUAUAUAUAUAUAUAUAUAUAUAUAUAUAUAUAUAUAUAUAUAGUAGGUCUUGUGUGCUAUUAGGAGCACAGAGGCCUCCGUGCUCCUAAGCCGUUUUCGAUGAUGGAGCUUCCGAAUCGACGAUCGGCUCCGUUAGACUUGAUCUAGCAUAUUUGAAAUAUCUAGAAAAUAAAUUUUGUGAUUUUUCGAUAUCAUUUACCUAACGAUCGAAAGGGUUCAAAAUCAACGGCUGAAAAUAAAAGUCUUA
rnacentral:lncRNA from 1 species